GUAGUGAAGAAAAAAGUGUUUUUUUUUAUAUUUAUUCAAAAGAACUAUCUUCUUGUGAUUCUAUAUUUAAUUGUUCUGUAAACUUGCCAAAGUAAUCUUUAAAUAGAACAGAAAAAAAUGUCCGAUAGCAUUGAAUAUUUCUUAAAGGUAUAAAGAGAAACUUACAGACAGCUUUUGUUGUACUGAAUCAUUUUUAUGUUACAUGUACAUAAAAUUAUUUAAGAAUGGAAAUGGGACAUGUAUGUUGAGUUAAUUGAAUCCAUUUGAUUUAAAAACCAUAAUUUUUUAUUUGUGGAGAAAGCCAGAGUGCCAGGAGAGAAUCACUGCAGUAGCAGAUCCAUAAAUUUUAAUAAGGGUGUUCCAAUGACUGGGGAAGUAGGAUUCUUUUAAUAAUCAACCAAAUCUUCCCUUCAAAAAUGCAAAAUGGCAUGGCUUAAACCCACUGAAACCCCAUCUUAUUCCGUCUCUGCACUGACCAUUAGUCAGUUUAGUGUGAAUACUGACAAUUAUAAUCAAUUAUUAAGAUUGGAGUUCCAUAUCACAUGCCACAUGUGGAAUUUAAAAUUCACAAUAUCAGUGUUGACAGGCUAAUGCUAUUGUAGAUAGACUAUUUAGACCACUUGGCUUCAGAUGCCCCUAAACUGAAAGAUUAAUGCUAAAAUAAAAUUAUAUAAAAUAAUAUGUCAAACGUGACUCUGCAUUCCUGUCUUUGUCAUAACACACUUCACAAUUGAUAAGGUCCUUUUUAGCUCACCUGGCCCGAAGGGCCAAGUGAGCUUUUCUCAUCACUUGGCGUCUGUCGUCCGUCGUCGUCGUCGUUAACUUUUACAAAAAUCUUCUCCUCCAAAACUACUGGGCCAAAUUAAAUCAAACUUGGACACAAUCAUCAUUGGGGUAUCUAGUUUAAAAAAUGUGUGGCGUGACCCGUCAAACUAACCAAGAUGGCCGCUAUGGCUAAAAAUAGAACACAGGGCUAAAAUGCAUUUUUUGGCUUAUAAUUCAAAAACCAAAGCAUUUAGAGCAAAUCUGACAUGGGGGUAAAAUUGUUAAUCAGGUCAAGAUCUAUCUGCCCUGAAAUUUUCAGAUGAAUUGGACAACCCGUUGUUGGGUUGCUGCCCCUGAAUUGGUAAUUUUAGGGAAAUUUUGUCCAUUUUCACUUAUUAUCUUGAAUAUUAUUAUAGAUAGAGAUAAACUGUAAUCAGCAAUAAUGUUCAGCAAUGUAAGAUCUACAAAUAAGUCAACAUAACCAAAAUGGUCAGUUGACCCCUUUAGGAGUUAUUGCCCUUUAUAGUCAAUUUUUAAUCAUUUUUCGUUAAUCUUAGAAAUCUUUUACAAAAAUCUUCUCCUCUGAAACUACUGGGCCAAAUAAAACCAAACUUGACCACAAUGAUCUGGGCGGUAUCUAGUUUAAAAAAUGUUUGGCGUGACCUGUCCAACCAACCAAGAUGGCUGCCAUGGCUAAAAAUAGAACAUAGGGGUUAAAUACAGUUUUUCGCUUAUAACUCAAAAACCAAACCUUUUAGAGCAAAUCUGACAAGUGGUAAAAUUGUUUAUCUAGGCAAGAUCUAACUGCCCUGAAAUUUUAAGAUGAAUCCAACAACCUGUUGUUGGGUUGCUGCCCCUGAAUUGGUAAUUUUAGGGAAAUUUGGCUGUUUUUGGUUAUUAUCUUGAAUAUUAUUAUAGAUAAAGAUAAACUGUAAACAGCAAUAAUGUUCAGCAAAGUAAGAUCUACAAAUAAGUCAUCAUAACCAAAAUGGUCAGUUGACCCCUUUAGGAGUUAUUGCCCUUUAUAGUCAAUUUUUAACCAUUUUUCGUUAAUCUAAGUAAUCUUUUACAAAAAUCUGCUCCUCUGAAACUACCAGGCCAAAUUAAUCCAAACUUGACCACAAUCAUCUGGGGGGUAUUUAGUUUAAAAAAUGUGUGGCGUGACCUGGUCAACUAACCAAGAUGGCUGCCAUGGCUAAAAAUAGAACAUAGGGGUAAAAUACAGUUUUUGGCUUAUAACUCAAAACCAAAGCAUUUAGACCAAAUCUGACAAGUGGUAAAAUUGUUUAUCUAGGCAAGAUCUAACUGUCCUGAAAUUUUCAGAUGAAUCCAACAACCCGUUGUUGGGUUGCUGCCCCUGAAUUGGUAAUUUUAGGGAAAUUUUGCUGUUUUUGGUUAUUAUCUUGAAUAUUACUAUAGAUAGAGAUAAACUGUAAACAGCAAUAAUGUUCAGCAAAGUAAGAUCUACAAAUAAAUCAACAUGACCAAAAUGGUCAGUUGACCCCUUUAGGAGUUAUUGCGCUUUAUAGUCAAUUUUUAACAAUUUUCAUGAAAUUUGUAAAUUUUUACUAACAUUUUCCACUGAAACUACUGGGCCAAGUUCAAUAUAGAUAGAAAUAAUUGUAAGCAGCAAGAAUGUUCAGUAAAAUAAGAUGUACAAACACAUCACAAAAACAUAAUUUUGUCAUGAAUCCAUCUGCGUCCUUUGUUUAAUAUUCACAUAGACCAAGGUGAGCGACACAGGCUCUUUAGAGCCUCUAGUUUCUGGUGCAAACAUUCCAGUAUUGUAAACUUCAUCCAUUUAAUUAUAUAUGUUCCAUGUUGUCUUUAUUAAAUUAUGUUGAAAUUGUAUAUUUAUGUUUAUGUUUAUGUUAAUUUAUUUUUAUGAAUAAAACUUUAUAAUUUA